AUACGGAGGGUCCGAGCGUUAAUCGGAAUUACUGGGCGUAAAGCGCGCGUAGGUGGAUGUAUAAGUCAGAUGUGAAAGCCCUGGGCUCAACCUAGGAACUGCAUUUGAAACUGUACGUCUAGAGUAUGGUAGAGGUGAGUGGAAUUUCAGGUGUAGCGGUGAAAUGCGUAGAGAUCUGAAGGAACAUCAGUGGCGAAGGCGACUCACUGGGCCAUUACUGACACUGAGGUGCGAAAGUGUGGGGAGCAAACAGGAUUAGAAACCCUAGUAGUCC
rnacentral:rRNA from 1 species